rnacentral:rRNA from 1 species
UACGGAGGAUGCGAGCGUUAUCCGGAUUUAUUGGGUUUAAAGGGUGCGUAGGCGGAUUAAUAAGUCAGUGGUGAAAACCUGCAGCUUAACUGUGGAACUGCCGUUGAUACUGUUAGUCUUGAGUAUGGUCAAGGUAGGCGGAAUGUGUAAUGUAGCGGUGAAAUGCUUAGAUAUUACACAGAACACCGAUUGCGAAGGCAGCUUACUGGGCCACAACUGACGCUGAUGCACGAAAGCGUGGGGAUCGAACAGG